CCUACGGGGGGCAGCAGUGGGGAAUAUUGGACAAUGGGCGAAAGCCUGAUCCAGCCAUGCCGCGUGUGUGAAGAAGGCCUUCGGGUUGUAAAGCACUUUCAGUGGGGAAGAAAGCCUUGGGGCUAAUACCCUCGAGGAAGGACAUCACCCACAGAAGAAGCACCGGCUAACUCCGUGCCAGCAGCCGCGGUAAUACGGAGGGUGCGAGCGUUAAUCGGAAUUACUGGGCGUAAAGCGCGCGUAGGCGGUCUGAUAAGCCGGUUGUGAAAGCCCCGGGCUCAACCUGGGAACGGCAUCCGGAACUGUCAGGCUAGAGUGCAGGAGAGGAAGGUAGAAUUCCCGGUGUAGCGGUGAAAUGCGUAGAGAUCGGGAGGAAUACCAGUGGCGAAGGCGGCCUUCUGGACUGACACUGACGCUGAGGUGCGAAAGCGUGGGUAGCAAACAGGAUUAGAUGCCCGAGUAGUC
rnacentral:rRNA from 1 species